CGAGAUAAGUCUUCUAUCAAGAAGUUUCAGUCAGGGCCAUUUUGAUUAAUGAAUAAUCACAACCAGCAGCCAGAGUGAACCUUGCAGUGCCAAUCAUUUGAUGCUAAUCUUUGGAUCAAAGCCUCCCCUUUCUUCCAGGUACAAUUGUACUCUCCGUGGAGGACAUUGAGAAAGUGCCAUGAUCGCUGAAUUCAGCCUAUGAUGUCAUUCCCUGUCAACACUGACAUGAACAAUCAUCAUGAACUAACAGGAACAUCUCAGAGAAAAUAUUUUUGACUGUCCUAAAUCAGAAGACACUGGUGCAUUCAAUAAUUCCUCCACAUCAGACACCUCACUCCAAGUCGGCUAUAAAGGUAAGCUGAUUCUAAAAACAUAAAUAGGAGUUAGAGGAUCUCUUAAAGAACUGUUCCUUUUAUCCUGACAAUAACCACAAACACAAUAAUAUAGCCUUCCCUUCAGUUUUUAGUCACGGCUGUGACAGGCAUACAGUCUGCAUUAUAUUUAGAUAAAUGUUACCUUUC
rnacentral:lncRNA from 1 species